rnacentral:sRNA from 1 species
AGCUCUGGACUCUGCAGACCUUCAGGUUGAAUUGCUGGGUGAAAGGGUCUAAGGUGAAUUUUGACACUCCAGGUGUCCCCAGGAAGGACUGCUCCUGGGAUGAUAGGCCCUAGAGGGGGCUCCCCGUGGAGAGGGGGAUACUCAUGGGUCUCCCUCACCCCCCACCCCACAGCUACCCCUGUCCAGCAGCCACCUGAAUGUGUACAGCAGCGACCCCCAGGUCACAGCCUCCCUAGUGGGCGUCACCAGCAGCUCCUGCCCUGCGGACCUGACCCAGAAGCGAGAGCUCACAGGUACUGCCUCCCUCUACCCCUGUGCCUUUGAAUACCCGACUCCUCCCUCCUUUUCUCCCUCCCUCCCAGCUCCUCUCUCCUUCUCUUUUGGCCUCCAGAUGCUGAGAGCAGGGCCCUGGCCAAGGAGCGGCAGAAGAAAGACAAUCACAACUUAAUUGAAAGGAGACGAAGGUUCAACAUCAACGACCGCAUCAAGGAGUUGGGAAUGCUGAUCCCCAAGGCCAAUGACCU